GAAAAUGCGUUCCUGAGUUUUUACUCUGGAUUCCAGAAACUUAUUUCCCCCUGGCCGUGAGAGGGGGCAGUGAGGUGGAACCUUGGCAAUGGAAAGUACUUCAAACUAGGAAUGUAAACCUUAUAAAGAAGACUGUAUUAAGGAUGCCCCUGCAUACUAUUAUUCCGUUGUUACAAGAGCUUACAAAGAGGUUACAAGGACAUCCUAAUAGUGCUGUGCUAAUGGUUCAGUGGCUAAAAUGUGUGUUAACAGUUCAUGCAUCAUACCUGUCCACGUUGCCUGACCUGGUACCCCAGCUGGGGACACUCUACCAGUUAAUGGAAAGCAGAGUCAAAACUUUUCAGAAACUUUCACACCUUCAUGGAAAGCUUAUUCUUCUAAUUACACAAGUAACAGCAUCAGAGAAAACAAAGGGAGCAACUUCCCCUGGACAGAAGGCAAAGUUGGUGUAUGAAGAAGAGUCUUCUGAAGAGGAGUCUGACGAUGAAAUAGCAGAUAAGGAUUCUGAAGAUAAUUGGGAUGAAGAUGAGGAGGAGAGUGAAAGUGAAAAAGAUGAGGACGUUGAAGAGGAAGAUGAGG
rnacentral:sRNA from 1 species